AACCAUUUAACUUAUAUAAAGUAAAUAUUUUGAAAAUAUUAUAAAGAUAAAUUAUUCUAAUGGUUU
rnacentral:tRNA from 1 species